UCAAAAGCAAAACCCUGAAACCCUAGCUUCUCCACCACCGCCGCAAGGAUUGCCGCCGUCCGUCGCGCUCAGGCACUACCAUCGUCGUUUGGUCGUCCGUGGUUCUUCCUCCUUCAAGAAUCGCAGCUUCUUCUUCCUCGAGCUUGGUGCGUCAGUCCCUGGUAUUCAUCUGCUCCGUCAUGCUCUUGCCACCGUCCAUCGCGCGCUCAGGCACCAUCGUCUUCGUCUGGUCGCCACAGGUUCUUUCAACCCACCACCGUCUUCUGAGUUG